UACAAUAGAGUGUCUGAAAGAGAGCUCACAUGUACCAGGGGUAAUAGGGCUCUGGUACAUGUGAGCUCUCUCCCAGACACUCUCUUGUAUU